rnacentral:rRNA from 1 species
GUGGGGAAUUUUGGACAAUGGGCGAAAGCCUAAUCCAGCAAUGCCGCGUGUGUGAAGAAGGCCUUCGGGUUGUAAACUGCUUUUGUACGGAACGAAACGGUCCGGGUUAAUACCCUGGGCUAAUGACGGUACCGUAAGAAUAAGCACCGGCUAACUACGUGCCAGCAGCCGCGGUAAUACGUAGGGUGCAAGCGUUAAUCGGAAUUACUGGGCGUAAAGCGUGCGCAGGCGGUUUUGUAAGACAGGCGUGAAAUCCCCGGGCUCAACCUGGGAAUUGCGCUUGUGACUGCAAGGCUGGAGUGCGGCAGAGGGGGAUGGAAUUCCGCGUGUAGCAGUGAAAUGCGUAGAUAUGCGGAGGAACACCGAUGGCGAAGGCAAUCCCCUGGGCCUGCACUGACGCUCAUGCACGAAAGCGUGGGGAGCAAACAGGAUUAGAUACCCCGGUAGUCC